AUGGAGGUGGUGACCGGAGCUAUGACCACCCUCCUGCCCACGCUCGCAGGCCUGCUCAAGGAGGAGUAUGACCUGCACAAGAACACCAGGGGUGAGAUCAGGUUCCUCAAAGCCGAGCUGGAGAGCAUGGAGACAGCCCUGCUCAAGAUUUCUGAGGCACCUUUGGAUCAGCCACCUGACGUCCAGGUCAAGCUUUGGGCGAGGGAAGUCAGGGAGCUAUCCUAUGAAAUCGAGGACAGUGUCGAUAAAUUCAUGGUGCGUCUUGAUAGACGUGCACAAAAAAAUCCGCAUAGCUUCAUGGGCUUCAUCAAUAAGAGCAUAGAUCUGAUGACGAAGGCUAAAAUCCGCCACAAGAUGGGCACUGAGAUCAAAGACAUCAGGAGCCGUAUCAAGGAGGUCAGCGAGCGACGCGAUAGGUACAAGGUUGACAGUGUACCUUCCAAGCCUGCCAGACCAACUAUUGACAGCCUUCGCCUAUCAGCCCUAUACAAAGAGGCAACAGAACUCAUUGGCAUCGAAGAGAAGACAAAUGACCUAGUUAAGAGGCUGACAGAGGGGGAGGGGGCGUCCAAGCAACAGGUCAAGACAAUCUCCAUUGUUCGUUUUGGAGGCUUAGGCAAAACAACCCUUGCUAAUGCUGUGUUUCAUAAGUUUAAACCGGAAUUCGAUUGUGUGGCCUUUGUUUCCGUGUCUCUUAAUCCUAACAUGGAGAAUAUUUUCAAAAACAUGCUCCAUCAACUUGACAGGCACAGAUACUUUAACAUCAACGAAUCAACAUGGGGUGAAGCAGAGCUUGUCAGCGAGCUAAGAGAUUUUCUUCUAAACAAGAGGUACUUCAUUGUGAUUGAUGACAUAUGGAACAAUUUUGUAUGGAAAGAAAUCAAACAUGCUUUGAUUGAGAACGAAUGCGGAAGUAGAAUAAUUACAACAACUCGCGCUUUUGAUGUUGCCAAACAAGUUGGUGGUGUUUAUGAUCUAAAGCCUCUUUCUCUUGCGCACUCAAGAAACUUAUUCUUCCAAAGAAUAUUUGAUGCUGAAGAAAAAUUUCCUUCUAAUGAAUUAGCCGAAGUAUCUGAUAACAUUAUUAAGAGAUGUGGUGGAGUACCAUUAGCUAUUAUUACGACAGCUAGUAUGUUAGCCAGUAAAAACAGAAAUGAUUGGUCCAAGGUCUACCAAGCUAUGGGUUCUGGGCUACAAGAUAGUACUGAUGUGAAGGACAUGAGAAGGAUAUUAUCAGUCAGUUACUAUGACCUACCUCCACAACUAAGAACAUGUUUAUUGUAUAUAAGUUUGUAUCCAGAAGAUUAUAAGAUCAUUGCUAGAGAUUUGAUAUGGCAAUGGAUUGGUGAAGGCUUUGUUCAGGAAGAACAUGGAAAGAGCUUGUAUGAAGUAGGAGAAAAUUAUUUCUGUGAGCUCAUUAACAAAGGCUUGAUCCAACCAGCAGAUGUCACUGAUGAUAAAGCGAGUGCUUGUCGUGUACACAAUAUGGUGCUUGACCUUAUCACUUCCAUAUCAAGGGAAGAGAAUUUUCUAACAUGUAUAGGUGGUCAACAAUCUGGAUCUGCACCAAGUAAGAUCCGUCGUCUAUCAGUCCAAAGCAUAAAUGAAGACGAUGCCAAGCAGAUGGCAACUAUGAACUUGUCCAAUUUGAGGUCAAUCAUUGUGUUUGGACGAUAUAUCAAUUUGUUACCAGUCCUUUCAAGGUUUUCAGUGUUGCGUGCAUUGGACAUAAGUUAUUCUUGGAAUGUGGGCAAUCAUCAUGUAAAGAUUAUUUGCAAUAUGUUUCACUUGAGGUAUUUAUGGCUACACAAUACAUGUAUCUCUGAGAUCCCGGAUGAGAUUGUGAAUCUUCAGUUCUUGCAAGUACUGGACAUAAGUGGGACGACAGUACAAGUGUUACCAGCAUCAUUUGUUCAGCUAACACAACUAGUGUACCUUCAUCUUGGUAUGUCCACGGCCCUGCCAGCAGGAUUGGGGAAUUUAAAAUCGCUGCAAGAAUUGCUAGGUAUCAAUAUUGCGUCUCCAUCCAUGCUGCAUGAUCUGAGCAAGCUGACUGAAUUGAGGAAUCUUCGUGUCAGGUUUUAUGGAUGGAACGAUGACUAUAAGGAACUUUUCCAGCGGUGUCUCUCCAGCCUGUUCAAUCUCAAAUGCAUUAAAAUAGAUGGUGUCCAUCGAAAUAUUGAUUUCGGAGGUGACAACUUGUCGCCUGAGCAGCUUCACUGCAUUCAUCUGACCUCUAGCGAGAUUUGUGAUGUGCCAAGAUGGAUAUCAUCGCUCUCCAACCUCUCUACCCUUAAAAUCCAGGAUCUAAAAACACUUAGUCAGGAGCAUCUUCAAGUGCUUGGCAUCAUGCCAUCACUCCGUGAUCUCAAUAUAUGGGUGCCGGAAAUCGCACAAGGCCGACACGAAAGGUUUGUGAUUGGCAGCAGUUAUCCAUUCCGGUGUCUAGCAAAGCUCAAGAUCGGCAGCCAAAUCAUGGGGCUGAAGUUCGCACAAGGGGCCAUGCAGGAGCUACAAACCUUUGAGAUUAUUUUAUCAGUGCAGCGGACAUGGGAUUGA
rnacentral:rRNA from 1 species